UACGUAGGGUGCGAGCGUUGUCCGGAAUUAUUGGGCGUAAAGGGCUCGUAGGCGGUCUGUCGCGUCGGGAGUGAAAACUCAGGGCUUAACCCUGAGCCUGCUUCCGAUACGGGCAGACUAGAGGUAUGCAGGGGAGAACGGAAUUCCUGGUGUAGCGGUGGAAUGCGCAGAUAUCAGGGGGAACACCGGUGGCGAAGGCGGUUCUCUGGGCAUUACCUGACGCUGAGGAGCGAAAGUGUGGGGAGCGAACAGG
rnacentral:rRNA from 1 species